CAUGGACACAGGAAGGGGAACAUCACACUCCGGGGACUGUUGUGGGGUGGGACGGGGGAGGGAUAGCAUUAGGAGAUAUACCUAAUGCUAAAUGACGAGUUAAUGGGUGCAGCACACCAAAAUGGCACAUGUAUACAUAUGUAACAAACCUGCACAUUAUGCACAUGUACCCUAAAACUUAAAGUAUAAUAAUAAUAAAAUUUUAAAAAGAGAGAUUUUGGGCUGAGACGAUGGGGUUUUCUAAAUAUACAAUCAUGUCAUCUGCAAACAGGGACAAUUUGACUUCCUCUUUUUGUAAUUGAAUAUUUCUUUCUCUUGCCUGAUUGCUCUGGCCAGAACUUACAACACUAUGUUGAAUAGGAGUGGUGAGAGAGGGCAUCCCUGUCUUGUGCCAGUUUUCAAGGGGAAUGCUUUCAGUUUUUGCCCAUUCAGAUGAUAUUGGCUGUGGCUUUGGUGAAUCUGACAAUUAUGUGUCUUGGAGUUGCUCUUCUCGAGGAGUAUCUUUGUGGCAUUCUCUGUAUUUCCUGAAAUUUGAAUGUUGGCCUGCCUCACUAGGUUGGGGAAGUUCUCCUGGAUAAUAUUCUGAAGAGUGUUUUCCAACUUGGUUCCAUUCUCCCCGUCACUUUCAGGUACAGCAGUCAGAUGUAGACUUGGUCUUUUCACAUAGUCCCAUAUUUCUUGGAGGCUUUGUUCAUUUCUUUUUACUCUUUUUUCUCUAAACUUCUCUACUCGCUUCAUUUCAUUCAU
rnacentral:lncRNA from 1 species